rnacentral:rRNA from 1 species
AACGAACGCUGGCGGCAUGCCUAACACAUGCAAGUCGAACGAGACCUUCGGGUCUAGUGGCGCACGGGGGCGUAACGCGGGGGAACCUGCCCUUAGGUUCGGAAUAACUCCCCGAAAGGGGUGCUAAUACCGGAUAAUGUCUUCGGACCAAAGAUUUAUCGCCUUUGGAUGGGCCCGCGUUGGAUUAGCUAGUUGGUAGGGUAAAAGCCUACCAAGGCGACGAUCCAUAGCUGGUCUGAGAGGAUGAUCAGCCACACUGGGACUGAGACACGGCCCAGACUCCUACGGGAGGCAGCAGUGGGGAAUAUUGGACAAUGGGCGCAAGCCUGAUCCAGCAAUGCCGCGUGAGUGAUGAAGGCCUUAGGGUUGUACAGCUCUUUUACCCGGGAUGAUAAUGACAGUACCGGGAGAAUAAGCUCCGGCUAACUCCGUG